AAUUCCAACCACAGAAGUCCAGUUUGAACCAGUUUGAACCAGUUUGAACCAGUUUGAACCAGACAUACACAGUGGAUUUUUCACUUUUACAUGCAGCUCUUUUUGAUAAUAGAAGCAGCUUUAAAAGAAAAAGCUGGUGGUGAAGAAAUGCUAAAGGAACAACAAACAACAGAAACCCUAAGUCACACUACAAGAAGGAAGUUGGUUAAUAAACUGGUUUCUCACAUGAUUCAGCACCAUGAUAACUUCCCCUCUAAGUCACCGGGAACAGUCUGCCCCUGGGAUUGUGAUGGUGUUUCCUUCUCUCAAAGAUCCAUAUGCCAAGAAAGGCGAUGAGCACCUCUAUGAUGCUGUGGGUGGAUCAGGUACAUCUCAAGACUGAAGACGGUCCAAAGGCAAGUGACUUCACAGCCACCGGACAGACAUGUUGACUGAAGUCAAGGAGCCCAACACAUCAGAGGACUGUUCAGGUCCAACAGCAGCUGGACGCUGAUGCCAAGAGUCUUCACAUAAUGAUUUAUACAUCAUUUCAUCUUUUACAGUGUUUUAAAGAAAAUAAAGGCUUUACAUGGACUGAA